GCACUGCUGACGAGUCCCAAAGAGGACGAGACAGCUGUCCAGUGC
rfam:Echinostoma caproni strain Egypt genome assembly, scaffold: ECPE_scaffold0012319